rnacentral:lncRNA from 1 species
CUCCCCUGUUCCUUUGAGAAGUGGGAGUGAGAGAGCAGUGUGGUGGAGUUCAGCUGCUCAUCAGUGUGAAACCACCACAGCUGUCAGUAGGGACACUUCAAAUUUGGACACACAGAUUUGAUGUCAUCAAAACUGGCAAAGAGAAUGAUUCUAGCUGUGACAUAACAAUGAGGAAUGCAUGAAAGAAUGCAGAAGGGAAAUCAAGUGUCCUUAAAAUAUUUGAAAGUGGGGACUCCCAUGGAAACAACUGAUAUGAUAAAAAACUGUUCAGUUCUGAAAAUGUGGGGGACAAAAAUACUGCAAAUCUAACACAGACAGAUUAGAGGAAAUAAAUAUUGUUAAAGUAGAUCUUGAUUUUAUGAUGGAAUACGAUAAAUGAAAGGAAUUUCUAUAGAGCACAGUCCUGCAGAGAAGCAGAUCUUCUGAACCACUGAGGUUUGAAUGAGGUGGCUCUGCUAACUGCAGUUAAUGGACAUUAACCCAUGAAUGCUAUUGAACAUCAGUGAACUGCUGAAUGCUACAAGAACGAUGUCCACUACUCUUUCUGCCUGUAGUGUUGCAGCUGGCACAGCUAGCAAGUAUCAACCUGGAGUCAGCCUCCCCUUCUGUGUGGCAUUCGCUGAAGCAAGAUAA